CUGUAACCCGGGUGGAAAGCCUACCUAGUCUCCAGCACCCAUAGGGGCUGAUGAGCUGCCUGACCCGUAGGCAGCGCUCAGCAGAUUGGAGCCUGAAAUCACGAGGCUCUCUGACCUGUCCGUGUGCCUGGACCAUCCGUCUUCCCUCUGCGCUGUCCUGCGCCAGCCUGUGUCUCCCUAGGUUGUCUGUCUGUCUGGUCUCCUCCUCGUCUUCCUCUCCCCGAACCCAUGCCCGCCGUACUUUCUCCUACAGCUUCGUGUUGGGGUAUCAUUCCCACACCGAACGGUUCUCCCGUUUGAAGUCUGCAGUCCAGUGAUGUGACGCGUUGGGCAUCCCUUCCCACAGUCCAGUUGUUCAGAACGUUCCCUUCACCCUAGAAAGACCCUUUGUGCCUGUUCAGUUGUCACCCCCGGUCCCACCCCAGCUCCAGGCAACCAUAAGCCCCCUUUCUGUCUCUCUGGCUUUGCUGCUUCUGGACGUUUGCUGUCAAUGGAAGCAUCCUCUCUGGGGCCUUCCUUCCCUCUGCAUCACGUCCUCAAGGUUCACCCCGGUUGUAUUCAGCGAGAAACAGGAAUGCAUGACCGACCCAGGCGACAGCAGUAAAAUGACUGAUCUGUGCUACAACAGUGCCAGCUGUUCAUUCCUGUUUUUUUGCUGAAUACUCGCCCUUUGUGUGGACAGACGGGAUCAGUGGAUUCAUGAAUCCACCAGCUGGUAGACCUUGCCGUGGUGCCCGGGCAUGCCCUGUCUCACCGUCCACGUGGGUGUGUCCCCCCCCUGCUGUGGGCGUCUGGGGGGAGGUGGCCAGGAGGUGGCAGGUGACAUAAAUCCUCAGACUCUCAGGGCCAUCCCGUGGAAGCAGGGCUUUAGAGAAUGUCAUAAGCUCGUUAGGAAAAUCUAAUAAACCGAAUAUUUGAAAAACGUGCUUCAUGUCGCCUCUCUCUGACCCCAGGAAGUAAUGCUGAUUUUGUGUGAUGUGGCGAAAAAAAUCCCCGGUCCCAUCAAACUGACAGCUACAUGGAGAACGGCUUUGGGUGGCGCCUUCGCCACGUCAUUUUUCUGAAGAUAAAAUGUGUGGCGUGCACAUGUCUCGUCUCGCCCGCCAGCAAGUGCGGAAACUGUGUUAGGUCUGCAGAAGCGAGUUCCAGGGUGGCUGGGGGCCGAGAGCCACGUCGGCUGUGGCCUGGAGCUGCCGAGGUGGUCAGAGACGUGGUGCCUUGUGCUUCAGGUCAUCCCUUGUAGGGUCACCGAGUCCCCAGGGUACCUGGCUCUGCAGCCAGUCAGCCCAGCCUGGGGCCCAGGAAGACGUGUGUCUCUGUGCUGUGGCUCAGGCUGCCGGGGGCCCAGGGGGUGGCCCUUUGUCUGUAGGAGAGUGGGGACUGAGUGGUCCUGGACACCUCCUUGGGGAGUUGGGGUUCUUAGGGAGGUCAGGGCGGGGGGUUGGCUGGAACUGGCUUCUUACUCACUUCCAUGACAGCUGCAAACCUCUCAAGGGAUUUAUCAGGGUCUGUGCAACUCCUGGGAGCCUAGGCAGGUAGGAAUCCGUCCGGGGGACCACGUUCAGCCUCCCCGGAGUGCGUGGGGGAGUGGGAUUUGCUCGGAGGACAUCCUUUGUUUGUCUCAAAACCUUUUUCUGCCAGUCUGCUUUAAGCUCCAGAGUUAAAGCAGCCUAAAGGCAACAAAACCUGAGGGACAGUUAGGGCAGCCUCGCUUCCUGCCUCAGUGUCGUCUGUAAAACAUCUGUUCCUGAGGGGCCCAGAGGGCGGCCACUUGUCCAGAGCCAGCCCCAGCUCUGUCACCUACCUGAUACGAUGCGCCUGUCUUCCGGGGGAGGACAUCGGACCCCGACCAGGGGGCGGGGAGCAUCCUUCUCUUGACUGAAAUUUCACCCGGUGGCUCUCGGUGCUGAGCUGGAGCAGGGUCUGGUGACACCGGAUGCUAAUGACUUCGGUCACUUCCUCGUCGGUGUGCUGGAGUCCCUCCGCUUCUGCAGCCUGUGGGCCAGGGGGCGUUGGGUUUCCAUAGCAAUGCGGUGUCCCCGGGAGCGGGCUUUCUGCUGGCCGCCUCUGUGGUUGGGGUGCAGCGUAGUGUCUUCAGGUGAUGCGUCUCCUCGCCGCGGCCUGGAAUCUGGCCCGGGAGACCGCGUUUGCUCAUCUGGCUCGUCCUGAGGCUCGAGAGCCGCCCCCCCCUGCCCCCCGAAAACCAGUGACUGAGGGUGAGCCCCAGAAAACCGCAAGGGGAAGUCCCACUCCCUUCUGUGCUUCCGAAGGGCUUAGAACCCAACCGCAGGCCUUGGUAAAGCCCCUUGAGAGGAAGCACUUAAAAGGCUUUAAGGAACGGAAAUCAGUGGAAUGGUUCAGUGAAGGUUUUGACUGUGUGUGUGUGUGUGUGUGUGUGUGUGUGUGUGUGUCUUGUGUGUGUGUGUGUGUGUGUGUGUGUGUGUGUGUGUGUGUGUGUGUGUGUGUGUGUGUGUGUGGAGAUGUUGAUACACAGAUGCCCACACACACAAACUUGUGAUACUGUCACCGCAAUCACAGAGAAGCCACAGCCGUCACCCUCAGAGUGUCCCCGUGUAGCCCCUUCGCCGUCUCUCCUUCCAGCCUUGGCCCCCGGCCCCAGUGCCGGUCUGCUUUCUGCCCCCGGGUUAGUGUACAUUUUCUGUGAUUCCCUUUUCUUUUUUUUCCCUUUGUGGUCUUUUUAGUUCCCAGGCUAGGAGUCGAAUCGGAGCUGCAGCUGCUGGCCUGCACCACAGCCACAGCCACAGCCACAGCCACAGCCACGCGGGUUCUGAGAUACGUCUGUGACCUACACCACAGCUCACGGUGAUGCUGGAUCCGUAACCCACUGAGUGAGGCCUGGGAUGGACCCCGUGCCCUCAUGGAUACUGGUUGGGUUCGUUACCGCUGAGCCAGCCCGGGAACUCCUGAAUGUCAUAUAUAGGGACUCUGAUCGUCGCGCUCCUUCCGGUCUGGCUGCUUUCAGUCCAAGGAAUUUCCUUGAGUGUCACCCGUGUGGACUGCAUCAGUAGGUCCGUCCUCUCUUUUGGCUGAGAAGUACUGGCAGGUUGUGAGUUACAUGCUGGUGGAAAUAUACUUUUUUUUUUUUUUUUUAAGAUAUUAGAGGCUAAUUGUUAGAAAUAGUUGAAGGGAGCGCUGUUGAGGAGAGCAGAGCGGUUUCUCCUGUCUGUGAAGGGUACUUCUCCAGGCGGAUGGAGAUGGGGUACGUCUGUCCCUUCUUGGUCCUGAGUUUAUUUCCAGUGCCCUGAGCACUACAACCUGACGUAGCCUUCCCAGUUUAGAGAAGCCCUAUUUCCUGUCAUAUUUGAGGUCACUGGAGACCUUCGCUUUAUCACCAGCAGGUGAGCAGUGGAGGGUUUUUCGGUGAUUCUCUCUCUCUCUCUCUCUUUUUUUUUUUUUUUGGCCACCCAGGGGCAUGCAGAAGUUUCGGGGGCAGGGAUUGAACCUGUGCCACAGCAGUGACAAUGCUGGAUCCUUAACCCAAUGCACCACCAGGGACCUCAUUUAGGUAAUUCUUAAGGAAUGUGAGGUCAAUUUGGGAACAGAACGCAGUUCUUCACAAAGCCUUGUGCAUUGGCUUCAUUGCCCCAUUCCCGAGCUCUCCUGCUCUGUGGGUGUUUUUUAAAAAGUUGAAAGAAUGUCUGUCGAUAUCCUGAAAGGCACUCUGUUGUUCAGAAAAUAUUGUAAAUGCAGCUCCCACGUAUAGUUGAGUCCUCUCUUAAAUUCUUGGGACUUUGCGUUAGAAAAAAAAAUUUGAACCUCAAGGUUAAAAUCUGCUGCUGUUCUCACAGUUGCUAAGUGAAAACAGAUUCAGAAUUCUCUGCAGUUCUUGAGCUGUGGACUUGUCUGCAGUAAUUCAAAGUUCUUUUAUGAGGAUUUUAUAGGAGGGCAGAUGCUUGUAACUUAAUGUAAAAUUGGAUAUGCAGCAUAGAAAGAGAAAAAAAGAAUUGAGAGUACAGGAGUUCCCUGGUGGCUCCGUGGGUUAAGGAUCCAGUGGGUUUGAUUCCCUGAUCCAGAAACUUUGUGUAAAAUAAUAUACUGCAGGCAUGCCCCCCACCCCCCCCAAAAAAGAGAGUGAUUUGAGGGUACGGCAUGAUGUUAAUUGGUUGUCUUUUUGGGGGUUGAAUAUCGAUGAGUCCUUCCCCCUCCAUUUCUUUAUACUUUUAUGUAAUUUAGAGCUUUUUUGUAGUGAAUGCUUUUGUGUUUUUUUUUUGUUGCUGCAAAUGGCUUUAUUUUAUUCACUUUUCUACCUGAGUAAUAUCUCCAUUGUGUGUAUGCCCAUGGUGUGUGUAUAAGAUAUACCACAUCUUCUUUACCCAAGCAUCUGUUGAUGGACAUUUAGGUUACGUUCAUGUCUCAGUUGUGGUAAAUAGUGCUGCAAUGAAUAGUGUAGUGUAUGUAUCUUUUUGAAUUAUGGUUUUCUCCAGAUAUGUGACCAGGAGUAGGACUGCAGGAUCACAGGGUAGCUCUGUUUUUUAGUUUUUUAAGGAACCUCCGUAGUGUUAUCCAUAACGGCUGUACAAAUUUACAUUCCCACCGAUGGUGUAGGAGGAUUCCCUUUUCUCCACACCUCGUCCAGCAUUUAUUGUUUGUAGACUUUUUAUAAUGGCCAUUCUGACCAGUGUGAGGUAAUAUCUCUUUGUAGUUUGAUUUGCAUUUCUCUGAUAAUUAGUGACGUUAAGCAUCUUUUCAUGUGCCUGUUGGCCAUCUGUAUGUCUUUUUUGGAGAAAUAUGUAUUUAGAUCUGUUGACAAUUUUUUGAUUGGGUUAUUUGUUUAUAUUGAGCUGAAUGAGUUCUUUGUAUAUUUUUGAGAUUAAUCUCUCCUCAAUUGCAUCAUUAGCAAAUAUUUUCUCCCAUUCUGUAGGUUACAUAUAUAUUUUUUUCAUUUAGUUUAUGGUUUCCUUUGCUGUACAAAAGCUUAUCAGUUUGAUUAGAUCCCAUUUGUUUAUUUUUUUCCUUAUUUCCAUUACUCUAGGGGGUGGAUCUAAAAGGAUAUCGCUGCAGUUUAUGUCAAAGCGUGUUCUGCCUAUGUUUUCCUCUAAGAGUGGUAUAGUAUCUGGUCUUACAUUUAGGUCUUUAAUCCAUUUUGAGUUAAUUUUUGUGUAUGGUGUUAGAGACUUUUCUAAUCUCAUUCUUUUCCAUGUAGUCCUCCAGUUUUCCCAGUACCAUUUAUUGAAGAGACUGUCUUUUCUCCAUUGUGUGUUCGUGCCUCCUUUACUGUAGAUUAGUUGGCCAUAGGUGUGUUGGUGUGAAUGCUUUUAAGAAAGCAAAUGAACGUUGUCUACAACCCGCUUUGCAAAACUUGGCUUUGCCGACUCCAGUUACCUAGAGACUGAAAUUCUCCUUUAAAAGUCUUUGUGGGACUUCCCAUCAUGGCUCAGUGGUUAACGAAUCCGACUAGGAACCAUGAGGUUGCGGGUUCAAUCCCUGGCCUCGCUCAGUGGGUUAAGGAUCCGGCUGUGAGCUGUGGUGUAGGUCGCAGACACAGCCCGGAUCCCAUGUUGCUGUGGCUGUGGUGUAGGCUGGCGGCCACAGCUCUGAUUGGACCCCUAGCCUGGGAACCUCCAUAUGCCGUGGCAGCAGCCCUAGAAAAGGCAAAAAGACAAAAAGACCUAAAAAAAAAAAAAAAAAAAAAGUCUUUGUGGAGGUGUUCCCGUCAUGGCUCAGAGGAAACAAAUCUGAUUAGCAUCUAUGAGGACGCAGGUUCGAUCCCUGGCCCUGCUCGGUGGGUUAAGGAUCUGGUGUUGCUGUGGCUGUGGUGUAGGCCAGUGACUUACAGCUCUGAUUCAGCCCCUAGCCUGGGAACCUUCAUAUGCCACUGUGCGCCCCUAAUAUAACAAAGCAAACAAACAAAAAUGUCUCUGUGGAGUUCCCCCUGUGGUACAGCGGGUUAAGAACCUUGCUCAGUGGCUUGGGUCACUGCAGAGGCUCGGGUUUGACCCCUGGCCUGGGGCAUUGACUUAAAUGAUCUGACACUGCUUGGAUUCAGUCCCUGGCUUGGGAACUUCCAUAUGUUGUGGGUGUAGCCAUAAAAAAAAAAA
ensembl:lncRNA